GACGAACGCUGGCGGCGUGCUUAACACAUGCAAGUCGAACAGUGGCGAACGGGUGUGUAAUGUAUCGGAACGUGCCCAGAAGCGGGGGAUAACUACGCAAAAGCGUAGCUAAUACCGCAUACUAUUGGAGCGGCAGAUAGCGGAUUAGCUAGUUGGUGGGGUAACGGCUGACCAAGGCGACGAUCCGUAGCUGGUUUGAGAGGACGACCAGCCACACUGUGACUGAGACACGGCCCAGACUCCUACGGGAGGCAGCAGUGGGGAAUUUUGGACAAUGGGGGAAACCCUGAUCCAGCCAUGCCGCGUGUGCGAGAAGGCCUUCGGGUUGUAAAGCACUUUUGGCAGCGAGGCGUUACCUUCAGAGGAAGCACCGGCUAACUCCGUGCCAGCCGCCGCGGUAAUAC
rnacentral:rRNA from 1 species